rnacentral:rRNA from 1 species
ACGAACGCUGGCGGCGCGCCUAACACAUGCAAGUCGAACGGAGCUUAGAGAGCUUGCUUUUUAAGCUUAGUGGCGAACGGGUGAGUAACGCGUGAGUAACCUGCCCUAGAGUGGGGGACAACAGUUGGAAACGACUGCUAAUACCGCAUAAGCCCACGGUACCGCAUGGUACUGAGGGAAAAGGAUUUAUUCGCUUUAGGAUGGACUCGCGUCCAAUUAGCUAGUUGGUGAGGUAACGGCCCACCAAGGCGACGAUUGGUAGCCGGACUGAGAGGUUGAACGGCCACAUUGGGACUGAGACACGGCCCAGACUCCUACGGGAGGCAGCAGUGGGGGAUAUUGCACAAUGGGGGAAACCCUGAUGCAGCGACGCCGCGUGGAGGAAGAAGGUUUUCGGAUUGUAAACUCCUGUCGUUAGGGACGAUAAUGACGGUACCUAACAAGAAAGCACCGGCUAACUACGUGCCAGCAGCCGCGGUAAAACGUAGGGUGCAAGCGUUGUCCGGAAUUACUGGGUGUAAAGGGAGCGCAGGCGGGAAGACAAGUUGGAAGUGAAAACCAUGGGCUCAACCCAUGAAUUGCUUUCAAAACUGUUUUUCUUGAGUAGUGCAGAGGUAGAUGGAAUUCCCGGUGUAGCGGUGGAAUGCGUAGAUAUCGGGAGGAACACCAGUGGCGAAGGCGGUCUACUGGGCACCAACUGACGCUGAGGCUCGAAAGCAUGGGUAGCAAACAGGAUUAGAUACCCUGGUAGUCCAUGCCGUAAACGAUGAUUACUAGGUGUUGGGGGAUUGACCCCUUCAGUGCCGCAGUUAACACAAUAAGUAAUCCACCUGGGGAGUACGACCGCAAGGUUGAAACUCAAAGGAAUUGACGGGGGCCCGCACAAGCGGUGGAGUAUGUGGUUUAAUUCGACGCAACGCGAAGAACCUUACCAGGACUUGACAUCCCUCUGACGGAGCCUUAACCGGCUCCUUCUUCGGACAGAGGAGACAGGUGGUGCAUGGUUGUCGUCAGCUCGUGUCGUGAGAUGUUGGGUUAAGUCCCGCAACGAGCGCAACCCUUAUUGCCAGUUACUACGUUAAGAGGACUCUGGCGAGACUGCCGUUGACAAAACGGAGGAAGGUGGGGAUGACGUCAAAUCAUCAUGCCCUUUAUGACCUGGGCUACACACGUACUACAAUGGCGUUAAACAAAGAGAAGCAAGACCGCGAGGUGGAGCAAAACUCAAAAACAACGUCUCAGUUCAGAUUGCAGGCUGCAACUCGCCUGCAUGAAGUCGGAAUUGCUAGUAAUCGCGGAUCAGCAUGCCGCGGUGAAUACGUUCCCGGGCCUUGUACACACCGCCCGUCACACCAUGAGAGCCGGGGGGACCCGAAGUCGAUAGUCUAACCGCAAGGAGGACGUCGCCGAAGGUAAAACUGGUGAUUGGGGUG